UCAGGUGUUUAAAGCAUCUGAUGGAUCUCCAGCAUCACCAUUUUGGCCGGUAAAGCGGCUUUAAUUGGCCCCGCCCCCGUCCAUCUCUCACCACAGCCUUGAUGGCCUCUCCCGCGCGCCGCGUUCGCUCAUCUUUCCAGCGGAUCGCAGCCCGUCUAGGCUCUGAAAAAUCCCAUUAAAAUCGCAUCUUCUCUGAAUAUUCACCACCGAAGUGCGCGGGGCCGGAGCCUCCGGCUGAAACCGGACACCGCCGGGCUAUUCCGGAGCCUGAUAAUAACUUUUAGCUGCGCCUCGCGUUUCAGGAGCGUAUUUAUAGUCUGAAGGGAAACAUUUGUGGUCGGAGGAGAGCAUUGUUCCUGCCCGUCUCACUCAGCAUCCGCUUUUCCUCCUGGAAGAGACCGGAAAGAAAGAAAGAAAGCUGCCCAAGCAACGACUUCUGCUCCAGAACUUCUUCCAAAACAUCACUUUUCCAAACAUUAAAGUUCCCACAAUACUUGGGAUUUUAUGAAGGGAAAACGGUGAGGAGAAGAGGAAGUGCUGCUACAGUUACGCAGAAGAAGGCAGAGCAGGACAAAGGAGUAAACAGGAAGUGCGGAUCCUCCCACGCACGUUUGCCCGAUACUCCUUCCUUCUCACAGCAGAGAGGAAAAGGAGGUCCAGGUGGGAGAAACGGAGAUCAAAUUAGCGGCUGAAGCUUCAGAGUCUUGCUGCUGUGUGGAGGAGAUAAGCUUGAUGGGGAGCUUUUGUUUGCAGUGAACAUGCAUGUGAACAUGCAUGUGAUCUGCAGCUGCACACAGGACGAGUCUCCACAGCAGCAGAGGCUAACAGCAGCUCGGACAAUGGCAGCAUCAGCUGAGUUCCACAGAUAACGGCAUCUUCCUUUCAUUCAUUACAAUACGAACGUGACGCCGUUUGACCUGCAGUUUGAACGUAUAUGCAGUGGUUAUAAAUAUAUGUUUCUGCUGAUAUUAUCUGAAUUGAGUGAUUGAAGAGAAACCAGAUAAAAGUAAAAACUGAAGAUCAAUCUUCCUGUUUGAAGCAGAGAUUUGAAGAACUUAAAGGGGAAAAAAACAACUUUUAAAGCUUUUUUGUAUUUUA
rnacentral:lncRNA from 1 species